AGCUGCUGCCAAUCGGCGGCGGCCUGACGGCCGCUGGCGUUUCCUCCCAAGACUUGAGGCGCCCCCUAACCGGGGCGCCUUUUUUCUUUGGGUGA
rnacentral:sRNA from 1 species